rnacentral:rRNA from 1 species
UACGUAGGGUGCAAGCGUUAUCCGGAAUUAUUGGGCGUAAAGAGCUCGUAGGCGGUUUGUCGCGUCUGCUGUGAAAACUGGAGGCUCAACCUCCAGCCUGCAGUGGGUACGGGCAGACUAGAGUGCGGUAGGGGAGAUUGGAAUUCCUGGUGUAGCGGUGGAAUGCGCAGAUAUCAGGAGGAACACCAAUGGCGAAGGCAGUUCUCUGGGCCGUAACUGACGCUGAGGAGCGAAAGCGUGGGUAGCGAACAGG